GCACACCACGUUGGCCAUUUUGAUGUCCACUUCAUCGUCGCAGACUGUCCCCCAGGUGUUGUUGUGAAGCACCUCCACGCGCCCUUCGUGCGGUUCUCGCCCAAAGUUGCCCGCCAAACGCACCUUCGCGGCUGGUGCGCGAGCCGCCCUGCGCUGAGAGGACGUGGUCCGUCGAGGUUCAGCACGAGCGGGACAGGAGAGGGACAGCAGCAGCGUGAGGAGGAAGCUCAAGCAGAGGGUGCGGGUCAUUGUAACUGAGAGGAGGGGGUCUGCAGAUACUUCCUGAGCCCUAAACUAUGGUGCAUUAAGACUGAGUAAUUCCCUUCAACACAAGUCAAACAGCCAGCCAGUGAGAGGCUAAUAACGGAACAACGGUGACAUCCUCUGGACAAGUACAACCACCGUAGCCUGGACCCACCUUCAUGCCCAUGAGAGCACUUCCCUUGCGGAAAUGUCCUUUGGGCCAGUCUGGGGCCUGCUGAAUGGAGCGUUCAGCAUCUGCCAGGGCCUGAGGGUACUGCUCCAAGCAGUAAUAGCAAUAGGAACGAUUCCCAAAGAACCUACAGGACAUUAUAUCAAAAAAAAUGCAAAAGGAAUAUGUUACAUGUGUUUACAAUGUAUGCACUCUCUUGUA